GAGAAAACAAGUUCUCACCACGAAACCCCAGGGAAACUGCUUGAAUUCCUUAUUAAGUACACAAGCAAUUUGUUGGGUAAAUAAACCUAAAAGCAAGAGGUCAGUGCAGGGCAUUAAUGCUUUGCUAUUUUCCAUGCUACUCACUGCAAGUCAAUUUCAUCAACUUGUGAUAUAUUCUGCACAGAGUUCUGUAUUGUGCUGCAUAAACCCAAAGAUGAAAACAAGGCCACUGGGUGCAGAAGUGUCCAAAAUAUGAAGACUGAAAGCUCCUUGCUUGAUGUCACCUCAAACUGAAGUCAGAUGGAAGGAC